rfam:Ophiophagus hannah scaffold97511.1, whole genome shotgun sequence.
UAAACGGUCCUUUUCAGGACCACAAA